AUGUCGUACUUUGUGGCUGAUUAAGAGAUGAAACGGUACUUGGUGGAACCAUAAAGCUUUUUAACAAGCACACGGUACCCUUUGGAACUUUGCGGCUGAUUAGUAUUAUCUGCAGGGUUGACGAUCGAACUUUAAGGCUUUUUAAUAACGCGUACCGAACUUGGUGGAACUUCAUAGCUAUUUAAGACUGAAAGACGGUACUCUAUGGAACUUUGCUGGCAAACUGACCAAAAUAUUAUCAUCUGUCAAAUGACGGCGUCGUAAAUCACCUGAGUGAAAAAUUAUUAACGGAAUACACAAACAAACAUGUUUUCGCGCGUUUUAAAAAGAUCUGGAAAAAUAUAUCGAAAACGCGACAGUAUAAAGCGGUCAUUAUUUAAUGUGAACAACUCCGUUGGGAGUGAAAUAUUUGGUACUACAGGGAUAAUUACUGCUGCAGAUGUUCAAUCUUCUGAUAGUUCAGAUUCUGAAGAUGAAUACGGGGCUGUAACAACCGAUUCUAAUGAGUUUGACACUAUGGACUUUGAAGAAGGAAUGCAAUUUUGGGCUUUAUACACCAACCAAACACAUCAAUCCAUAAACAUGAUGUUAAAGUUAUUAAAAUCAAAUAUCGACUCAGUAAACCUUCCAGAAAAUGCUAGAACGCUGCUUCGUACAAAGAGGACUCCGGCGGAAAUAACAAAGAUUGAUGGAGGUCAAUUUUGGUAUAAUGGAAUCCAAAAAUGUCUUUCAUCCUUCUUUUGUAAACAGGGACCACCAUUCGAAACACUGUCGCUCAAUUUAUUUGUGGAUGGUUUACCUCUUUACAAAAGUAGCAGUCUCCAGUUUUGGCCGAUUCUCUUCAAUAUACAUGAUAUGCCCAAUGUUCGUCCAAUGAUUGCUGGGAUUUUUUGCGGCAAUACCAAGCCGGGAAAUGCGGAUGAAUAUUUGAAGAAAUUGGUUGAAGAAUUAAAGAUAAUAUUGGUGAAAGGAACAACCAUCAAUGGUGUAACCAUUGCAAUCAAACUUCGAGCAGUUAUAGCUGAUUCUCCAGCUAGAUGUUUUCUAAAAGGAGUGACAAAUUUCAAUGGAUAUAAUAGUUGCUUGAAAUGCACAUGCCACGGAGAAUACAACCAUGAUUCACAUACUGUUAU